rnacentral:rRNA from 1 species
UACGUAGGCAGCGAGCGUUGUUCGGAAUUACUGGACGUAAAGAGUGUGUAGGCGGUGCUCUAAGUUCGGUGUGAAAUCUCCUGGCUCAACUGGGAGGGUGCGCCGGAAACUGGAGUGCUUGAGCGUGGGAGAGGAAAGCGGAAUUCCUGGUGUAGCGGUGAAAUGCGUAGAUAUCAGGAGGAACACCUGUGGUGUAGACGGCUUUCUGGACCAUAGCUGACGCUGAGACACGAAAGCGUGGGUAGCAAACAGG